AGGAGAGUUAGGGUGUCUGCAGCUGAGCUGGAAGAGUUUACAAAGCAGGCAGAGUGUCUGAACCUACAACCACCUGCUAUCAUGGACUCGGAAAAGGGUUUGUGCCCAGAUCCAACUCUUGCCCCAGAAAGAAAUUUCACUGAUGGAACCACAGACACCAUAAGCUCUGAUGAGCUCAGCCUUCUAGAAGAACUUCUCAGUAGUGAAAGUGGAGUGAAGACCCUUUUCGAUAUGAUCCAAAGAAGUAUGGCUUCAUCCAAGCAAGACUGACGGCUAUGCCUGUGAAGAAUAUUGCCACUAAAAAUAAAGAUGCUAAAAAAGAA